rnacentral:rRNA from 1 species
UACGGAGGGUGCAAGCGUUGUUCGGAAUUACUGGGCGUAAAGCGCGCGCAGGCGGGCGUGUAAGUCGGGGGUGAAAUUUCAGGGCUCAACCCUGGAACUGCUUUCGAUACUGCACGUCUAGGGACCGGUAGAGGUCGGUGGAAUUCCCGGUGUAGCGGUGGAAUGCGUAGAGAUCGGGAAGAACACCCGUGGCGAAGGCGGCCGACUGGGCCGGAUCCGACGCUGAGGCGCGAAAGCGUGGGGAGCAAAC